rnacentral:RNase_P_RNA from 13 species
GAAAAAGAGAAACACCAGAACCAAGAAGAAAAAGAGAAAGAAGGGAAGAGAGGGGAAGGGGAGAGAGGAAACUGGAGAAAGCUUUUCACUUUCUUGUUUGUUCUCUUUCCCUCUUCUUUCUCUUCUCUCUCUUUGUCCAAAAAUGUAAGAGUUUUA